rnacentral:misc_RNA from 1 species
GUAUUUUGAAUUGUUUUAUUCAUAAUAUUUUUCAGACAAAGAGUUGAGAUAUAGUUGAUGUUUGGGGCUGAUCCUCUCGAGAGAAAAUCAACCCUGACAUUGCACACAAGGUGGAUAUGGAUUUUUAAAGAGUGCCAUAAAACACUCAUUGUGAAUGAUCCUUCCGCAGGUUCACCUACGGAAA